rnacentral:lncRNA from 1 species
CCAAAAGUGAUGUCCAAGUCCUAACCCCCAGAACAUGAGAAAGGGACCGUAUUUCGAGAAUGGGUCUUUGCAGAUGUAAUGAAGGAUCUUGAUAUCAUUCUGGAUUGAGGAUGGACUCUAGCUCCACUGACAGGUGUCCUUAUGAGAAAAAGGUAGAGGCAGAUUUGAGACACAGACACAGGGGAGACGGCCAUGAGAAGACAGAGGCAGAGAUUGGAGUGAAGCAACCACAGGCCAACAAGUCACCGAUACCAGAAGAAGCAAGGAAGGAGUCUGUCCUACAGUCUUCAAAGGGAGCGUGGAUCUACUGACACCCAGAUUUUGGACUUCUGACCUCCAGAGCGGUAAGAAAAUAAAUUUCUAUUGUUUUAGGCUACCAAGUUUAUUACAGCAGGCUCAGGAAACUAAUACUCUAGGUGACGUCUGCUCCUCCACCCCAUGCCUCUGCAUGCUUGGGUUACAACAGAGAGUGCUUUCCCCUUGGUUGAACAACACUUUUUUUCUUGAGAAAAGAAAACAUAAGGGUAAAGCAGUUUUUGGAAGGGUUACUCAGCCAGCUAGAUCGUCAGAAUCAACUCUGGUAGGAGUGGGCCACAAACAUCCAUCCUAGGGCAUCCGGAGAGAGUCAUUCUCCCUAACAAUAGCUCUGGGCAUGGCUCUGUAUUCGUCUGUUCUUGCAUUGCUAUAAAGAACUACCUGAGACUGGGUCAUUUAUAAAGAAAAGAGGUUAAAUUGGCUCACGGUUCCACAGGCUGUACAGGAAGCAUGGUUGGGAGGCCUCAGGAAACUUACAAUCAUGGCGGAAGGUGGAGGGCAAGCAGACACGUCCCACGUGACUGGAGCAGGAGGAAAAGAGAGCGAAGGGGGAGGUGCUGCACACUUUCAAACAACCAGAUCUCACGAGAACUCACUCACUAUCACGAGAACAGCAAGGGGGAAGUUUGCCCCCAUGAUCCAAUCACCUCCCGCCAGGCCCAUCUUCCAACAUUGGGGAUUAUAAUUUGACAUGAGAUUCGGGCAGGGCCACAAAUCCAAACCGUAUCAGGCUCCACAUUUUGUUUCUUUGUUUUUUUUUUUCCCUGUCCUUCCCUCUACCUGAAGCUCAUUUGAAAGCAAGUUUCCAUUGCUGCUAUUCCUUCCUUACUUUGGUCAGAAUCCUCUUUUUGUGGUAUCAUAAAUGGUUUCCAUGGAAACAAAAGGUUAGGAUAGAACAGUGCCAAUGUGCAUGUAAACUUCAGAAUUAAACAAGGGCUGUUGUUUUUGCCUGUCAUGGAGUUCCGUUCAUUCUGAACAUGUCACCGGGGACUUUGGAAUGUGUAUCCAUAACUCCCUGAUUUUCAACCACAUUCCAGCCUGCCUGACUCAUGAAGCGUGGAGCGACCCAGGAACAUCCCAGCUCCUCAUGUCCCACAUUCUUCAGGCUUUCUCUUAGUUUUGGCAUGUGCAUGUAAAUGUCAACAGAUCAAUAAAGGCAAAAACCAGGAGAUCCCAUAAAUCCCGCUGAGCCUGUCAUAGCUAUCAAAUUAUACCCAGAUAAAGCUUCUGGUGGCUAAUGACAUGGCCAUCACCCAGCGUGGACGUGGGCAGGAGGGGCUCUCCGGGAGCAUCUGGUCUGCUGUGGAGACACUUGUCAUCUGGAGGCUCUGUGGCUCUAAUGGAGGGUGAUGCUUUGAACGCGACUAUCUCCCCCAUAAAAAAAUAAAUAAAUAAUAAGUAUAAUUUAAAAAUAAACAAAGAUCUGGAUUUGCAGGCUACUUACUGUCGCAGGACCAAGAUUAAUGGCCAGUGGUAAGUUUUCGUGAAGAUCUUCUGUAGCCCGAUUAGCCGUGCUGGGAAUCCGGAGAGAUAAUGUCUUUUCACAUAUAAAAGAUCCUAUUGAUUUCCUGUUAGUAUCAUCCUGAAAAUGUGCAGUGUAUAUCUAUGAAGCAGAGACAAUCUUCCAUCACUUGUUUUAUGGGAAGAGAAUGGUUAUUGUAUCUCUUCCCAUAAAAUAUAAUCUCUUUUUCUCUUCCAAAAUCUACUCGUCCCUCUGGGAAUUUCCACUUGUAAUCUGUGGAAGUGAAUUGAUUUUUUUAUUUUGUUUUAUUUUUUGCAUGUGCCGGUAUUUUUAUAUUUGGCUUCUCUACAUUUUCUCAUUGUUCUCUGGAGUCUGGCUUUUCUAGAUUGUUAUUUGAGGUUGUCUAAAAAUAAGUAAAAAAAAAAAAAAAUCAGUCCCAUUGAAACACGCACAGCCAUGUGCCCGACAGUGGGUGUCAGGUUCCUGUGACUGCUCCCACUGCGGUGCCCCACCUUUCUCCCCCGUCGGGGCCUGGCGUUUGUAAGUUCCUCAGAGGGCUUCGGAGGCAGUAAGAGGUUGCCUGGUGGGUUCCAAUAGGAUGCCGAUGCAAAAUACCAAGUUACUGAAUGAAGGAAGUGCUCUUCCUGCUGACUGGGGUUCUCAGCGUUAUGUCUGGGCAUUGCUUCAGGAUCAAUUAAGACGCAAGGGCAGAGUCCUACAUAUUUAAAUACUGUGCCCUGAGCAGCGGCUUCCUAAGCUAAUGAGUUUGGCUGAGAAGACCCCAGCAAUGCAGUCCUGUCCAGACCUUAAAUAGAGAGCUUUGCAAACUGGAGCUCCAGCUAUGAAGCCAAUCCUCAUGGUUCUGCCUGCACCUCUUUAUUAAGUGUCACCCUCCGAUCUCUCAGCUGGUUGGGAAAAAUCUGUAUCAGUCAUUACCCUUGCUCAAGCCCAGACUGGGUCAUCUGGCCACAGCAGGAGAUGCAGCGGGCAACAGCAGCAGGAGAUGCAGCGGGGAACAGCAGCAGGCAUGGAGCUGAGACAAGAUUUCACUGUGAAGACAGUUUCCGGGGAGAGGCUGGGUCCGAAGCUGCAUCUCCAUGUCCCAGGAGUACCUUUCAAAGCUUCCCCUGUCCUGGCCUCAAGCUCUAGGAGCUUUGAAAAAAUGCUUGCAUUUUGGGCCGGGCCUGGUGGCUCAUGCCUGUAAUCCCUGCACUUUGGGAGGCUGAGGCGGACAGAUCGCUUGAGGUCAGGAGUUUGAGACCAGCCUAGCCAAUAUGGCGAAACCCUAUCUCUGCUAAAAAUACAAAAAUUAGCUGGGUGGUGGUGGGUCAGCACCUGUAAUCCCAGCUACUUGGGAGGCUGAGGCAGGAGAAUCACUUGAGCCUGGGAGGCAGAGGUUGCAGUGAGCUGAGAUCACGCCACUGGACUCCAGCGUGGGUGACAGAGUGAUACGCUGUCUCAAAAAAAAAAAAAAAGCCUGGAAAAUAUGCUUGCAUUUUGAAUAUCUAUCUAUCUAUCUAUAUAUUUUGUAUCUGUAAAAGAAAAAAUAUUCAGGACUCUCUAAAUGUAUUAUGCCAUGUGGGGAGUUAAGCCCUGGAAACUCCCAUAGCAUGUAUGCAACUUCUGCUCUUAGGUGAUAGUUUAACUCUCUUCCUCAUUGCUCUUGUUCUGUAAAUGACUGGGAGAGACCAGAGACCAAACCUCCUCCCCUUCCAAUCACUGAUCUUUGUUGUAGAUGAACUGCCUUCUUUAUUGUCCCGUGCCUAACCUAGACCAGAUGGGACAAAAGACCCCAUGUCUAUUACAUCUUUAGUGUGGAAGGUUAAAUAUACCUUUCCCAAAAAGAAAGACUACCUCAACCAACCAGAUAUUGUAAUUAUGCAUUAAACCUUAUAUAGAAAGACGUUGAGAUUCUGUUCCGCUUCCCCAAGCUUUGUCUAUAUAAACAGUUGCAAACUUCUACACUUUGGAGCACUGACUUCCAUUCUUUGGAAUCUGUGCUUCCCAGGCAGCUCAUCUUCAAACUUUGUGCCUGAAUAAACUCCCUUUAAACCAGACUCUGACCAUUUUGAUUAUUUUAAGUUGACAUAUCAAAAUAGUAUACAUACAAUAACAAGUAAAAAAAAGCAGAAAGAUAAUAAUAUUGAAAAGCGGCAAUCUCACCCCAGUCCCCAAAGCGAUUUUAACUGUUUCUUUCUUUAAUUCUUCUGGAAUUUCCUCUGCUGCUCUAUGAUCAUACCUCUUGAUGUGGUUUGGUUCUGUGUCCCCACCCAAAUCUCAUCUUGAAUUGUAAUUCCCACAUGUGGAGGGAGGGACCCGUGAUCCCCACGUGUCAGGGGAGGGAGGUGAUAGGGUCAUGGGGACAGUUUUGCUCAUGCUUCUUUUGAGAUAGGGUCUCACCCUGUUGCCCAGGCUGAAGUGCAGUGGUACUUCUCCUCUUCUCCUCCUUCUUCCCCUCCUCCUCCUCCUCCUCCUCCUUCUUCUCCUUCUCCUUCUUUCUUCUUUCUUUUUCUUCUUCUUUUGAGAUAGGGUCUCACCCUGUUGCCCAGGCUGAAGUGAUAAUGAGUGAGUUCUCACGAGACCUGAUGGUUUUAUAAGGGGCUCUUCCUGCUUCACUUUCUCUCUCUCUCCUGCUGCCAUGUAAGACAUGCCUGCUUCCCCUUCCGCCACGAUGGUAAGUUUCCUGAGGCCUCCCAGUCACGCAGAACUGUGAGCCAAUUAAACCUCUUUCCUUUAUAAAUUACCCACUCUUGGGUAGUAUCUUUAUAGCAGUGUGAAAACAGACUAAUACACCUCUCUGAUUUGAUUUAUCAGUUUUGGACAAUACCUUCCAACUCCUAAAUAGGAAGAUGAAAAUUUAGCUCAAAAACAUUCUACCUCUUCCCUCUCUGCCCUUUUCUCUCUUUUUAUUUUUCGUCACUGCUUUAACGGAUAUAUAAUUCACAGGUCAUAAAAUUCACUCUGUUAAAGUGUACCAUUCAUUGGUUUUUAGUACACAGAUCCACAAAGUUGUGCAACCAUCUCUAAAUCCACUGUGCACCAUUCUCUAAAACCAGAACGUUUUUGUCCCUGCAAAAAAGAAGCCCCUAUCUUCAUUAGCAAGGACUCUUAUUAUUCAUUCUUCUCAACCCCUGGCAUCCUCACCAAUGCUUGUUAUUUUUCUGUCUGUCCUUCUCCUCCUUUUCUCCUUCUCCUCUUCUCGUUCUUCCCCUCCUCCUCCUUCUUCUCCUUCUUGUUCUUUCUUCUUCUUCUUCUUUUGAGAUGGAGUCUCACCCUGUUGCCCAGGCUGAAGUGCAGUGUCAUGAUCACAGCUCACUGCCCUCAACUUCUUGGACUUCUUCUUCUUUUGAGAUAGGGUCUCACUCUGUUGCCCAGGCUGAAGUGCAGUGGCAUGAUCACGGCUCACUGUCCUCAGCCUCUUGGGCCUCUUCUUCUUUUGAGAUAGGGUCUCACCCUAUUGCCCAGGCUGAAGUGCAGUGGCAUGAUCACAGCUAACUGUCCUCAACCUCUUGAGCCUCUUCUUUUGAGAUAGGGUCUCACCCUAUUGCCCAGGCUGAAGUGCAAUGGCAUGAUCACAGCUAACUGUCCUCAACCUCUUGAGCCUCUUCUUCUUUUGAGAGAGGGUCUCAUUCUGUUGCCCAGGCUGAAGUGCAAUGGCAUGAUCAUAGCUCACUGCCUUCAACAUCUUGGGCCCAAGCCAUCCUCCCACCUCAACCUUCCUCCUGAGUAGCUGGGACCACAGAUGCACACCACCAUGCCCGAUUAUUUUUUUAAAAAAUAUUUGUAGAGAUGAGGUUUCGCUAUGUUGCCCAGGCUUGUCUAAACUCUUGGGCUCAAGUGGUCCUCCUGCCUUGGCCUCCCAGAGUGCUGAGAUUACAGGCAUGAGUUACCUCACCUGGCUGUCUUUCUUCUUAUAGCCAUCAUGAUGGAUGUAAAGUGGUGUCUAAUUGUGGUUUUGAUUUGCAUAUAUCCCUAAUUAUUUUGAGCUUGUUUUUUCACGAGCUUAUUGGUCAUUUAUAUAUUUUCUUUGGAGAAAUGUCUAUACAAACCUUUCAGUCAUUUUUAAAUUGGAUUGCCUGUUUAUUGUUAAGUUGUAACAAUUGUUUACAUAUUCUGGAUACUAGACCCUUACAGAUAUAUGAUUGCAUAUAUUUUCUCUCAUUCUAUGGGUUGUCCUUUUUAUUUUCUUGAAUGGUGUCCUUUACAUGACCAAAGUUUAAAUUUUUAAUGAAGUUCAAUUUAUUUUUUCUUUUGUCACUUGCACUUUUCGAGAUGUUUCUAAGAAAUUAUUGCCUAAUCCAAGGUCGUGAAGAUUUUUUACUCCUGUGUUUUCUUCUACGAUUUGUAUAGUCUUCGCUCUUACAUUCAGAGCUGAUUGUGCCAUGUGGGGAGUUAAGCCCUGGAAACUGUCACAUAGCAUGCUUGCAACUGCUGCUUCUUAGGUUAUAGUUUAACUGUCUUCCUCAUUGCUCUGAUAGGGAUUGUGCUCAAUCUGUGGACUAAUAUGGGAGUUGGCAUCUUAACAGUAUUGUCUUCCAAUCUGUGAACAUAGAUUCCAUUUAUCUAGAAUGUUAAUUUCUUUCUUUCUUGAUUUCUUUUUUUUUUUUUUUC